AAUUAUUCUGUCAAAGUUGUGCAAACAAAAUCAAUCGAAUAUAAAUAUGACAAAUACAUACACCUUUUAUUACACCACAACUAACUAUUAUGACACACAAAUCACACAAGAGCACCCCAAAGUAAUGAAAAACAAUAAAUCACACAGGAGUGCAAAUACAUGUGCUCCCCAUAGGAACAUAAACUCGAGGCAUGGAAGUAGUCCUCUUUAUACGGGGGGCACAUGUGUUAAGAGAGAUAGUUCUGGGCUUGUAUUACUCUAAGUUGUGCAAACAAAAUCAAUGGAAUAUAAUUCCAAUCUAAAUAUGACAAAUACAUACACCCUUUAUUACAAUUACCAACAUGAGGAUAUCAGCACAGAAGGGGUGGUGGACAGGGCUGGAGGGGGUGCGUGCCUAAGAGGCCGCGAGCUGCGAGACAAGCAUUGUCACCAAGCAACGACAGUACAACGCGCAUUGCUAAUAAGAGGGAAGCCUUGUGAGAAGCCAUGGCUAAAAGGGCUAGAGAGAGAGAGAGAGGAAGGAGAGACCAGGAACUAAAGAGAGAGAAGAAACUAGUGGUAGAACUAAAGAG
rnacentral:lncRNA from 1 species